rnacentral:rRNA from 1 species
UGAGGAAUAUUGGGCAAUGGACGAAAGUCUGACCCAGCAACGCCGCGUGGAGGAUGAAUGCCGUAAGGUUGUAAACUCCUUUUGAAGGGGACGAAAAAUUCCGCUAACAUCGGAACUUGACUGUACCCUUAGAAGAAGCCCCGGCUAACUACGUGCCAGCAGCCGCGGUAAUACGUAGGGGGCAAGCGUUGUCCGGAUUUACUGGGUGUAAAGGGCGCGUAGGCGGACUUGUAAGUCAAGGGUGAAAUCU